UCUCACGCGUGCCUCUUCAGUGUUUGGCUCAAGCGCAUUUGUGCUGAGUCAAAGUCGGUUGUCCUGUGUUGUAUUCCACACUAGAUGGCAUUGCGUCGGCUAAGUUGUCCCUUCUUCGUCCCGCGCUGCUGCUCCUAACGAGAAUUUGCGUGGGGCGGACCACAAAGCUCCCGUUGUGUUCACUAUGCUGCGCUGACUAUUUGUGCGGGUGCCUUCGUUGGUGACCCACAACGGUGUGCUCGAUCUCUCGAAUGCGGAACAUUGAGCGGGUAAGGGGCCUUCGGCCCCAGCAUGUCCCCCGAAAGAGCGUUCUAUGCCUCGUGCAAACGACUGUCGCCCGGCCUUGUUCUUUAGCCUUUGUGGCUCGAGCUCAUGCCGAA
rnacentral:misc_RNA from 1 species